UAAGAAAAAAGUUGUUGAAGUUUGAAGAGAUCAUGAGGGCAAUAUAUAUUAUCAGCAUCAUUAUAGUGAGCUUGAGCAUUUUCUCUUGUGGUGGGAAUGCUCGACUUCUUCCUGCUAAUAGAGAUUAUCCAUGGGCAAUGUUUGCCCUAAGGCUUCAAUGGCCAGCUGGAUUUUACGAGGUCAACAAUGACUGUGAUACAAAGUCUCUCCUCAACACAUUUACCAUUCACGGCCUUUAUCCCUAUAACGCGAAGGGGAUCCCAGUGUUAUAUUGUGACGGAACUGCCUUUGAUGUUAACUCUGUGAGUUCUCUCAGUCUGCAUUUAAUUUACUUCUUAAAAUCCUUGCUCUAUUGUCUAUUAAAUAUGUUUUUUUGUGGUAACAUUUAUAUAUAUCUUGAAGAGUUGGAUAUGUUUGUUUGAUAAAAAAAAUGAAAUUGUACAUGCAAUAUAUAUCCAUACAUACUCACAUAUGUUAAACUAAUUUCUCUCCUCCUUUAUUUUGAAAAUUAACAGGUAUCGGACUUUCAAGCAGAAAUGCAUCUUGCAUGGCCGAGUCAUGAAACUAAUACUGAGGACAAACAAUUCUGGGAACACGAGUGGAAUAAACAUGGAAGGUGCUCAGAAGCUUUGUUGAAGCAGACUGAUUAUUUUAGAACGGCGCUUGCUUUUAGAAAAGCAUUUGAUAUAAUUGGGCUACUAAACCAGGAAGGUAAACAUACCCAUUGAUAUAUAAUUAAAUAGUCUUUAAUUUGGUUCAUUAAUUGCUUCCUAAGGGAACUACGUACUUAAUUUAGAUUUUGUGGAUGAUUAAUUGAUAAUGUGAGUUUGAUGAGAUUACUAUUCAAAAAUGUGUAGGGAUUUACCCGAAUAACGACCUUUAUCGUCCUAAAAUGAUAAAAGAAGCAAUCAAAAAGCACUUGAAUGCUGUGCCAGAAAUCGAUUUCACCAAAAACGAAAACUCAGAAUAUGUGCUUACGGAUAUUAAUCUAUGUGUGAACCAACAAGCAACAAGGUUCGUAGAUUGCCCUACCGAUGACGCUACUGAUGACUACCGCCUCAAAUUCGUAAGACUACCUUCUAAAAUGAAAAUUGCGGAUCCGAGGACCAAUUCUAUAAUAUAGCACAAAUGGUACGGCUACAAAAUGGACUACUAUCUUGUUUAAUUAAUGCUUUUGGGAGUAUAUAUUAUCUAUGUAAAAUAGUUAUGAGUGCUAGGGUUGGCUAAUUAGUACUAUGAGGCCAACCUUUAGUAUCUCUUGAAUAAUGUCCAUGUAGCAAAAGUUUAUAGCACUCUGGCCUUGGUGUGUAUGGAUAAUUAUAAUAAAUGACUACUUUUAUCUGCAAAAAAAAAUAAAAUCCAAGUAUUUUCUUUUGUUUUUAUUUUUGAUAAGAAUUUAAUUUUAUGUAGUUUGAUGGCAUAGUUUAUCUAGGAAGCUGAUAUUUUCACAUGUUAAAAUGAUAUUUUCAAACGAGUCUCUCACAAUAUGGAUGUGGGACUUGCUCACUAUUCAUGUGAGAGGGAUUAUGUGAAAAUA
rnacentral:lncRNA from 1 species